CACACACACGCCCACGCAUACACGUGCAUGAAUAGCUAAACAGCUAGCCCAUAGCGAAGUAGCUAGUGUGUCCCUCUUUGUCUGUUCUUGAGUCUG